ensembl:snRNA U6 U6 spliceosomal RNA
GCCAUUUAUUUGGCUUGUGGUUAAAAGGGAACAAUACAGACAUUAGCAUGGCCCCUGUGCCAGGAUCACCACCAAAUUCAUGACAGUCACAUUAACACA